rnacentral:RNase_P_RNA from 1 species
CUGGAAAGGUGGGGGGUCGCUCUUCCGCGAAAGCGGAGGGGAGGAAAGUCCGAACUCCAAAGGGUACGAUGCCGCGGAACCCGGCAGCACUCGGCGCGAGCCGGGGAACGCCGGGAUGCCCGCGGGAAUAUUCGUCGUGAGGCGGAUAUGACAGACAGUGCCACAGAAAAUAAACCGCCCACGCCGUAAGGUGUGGGUAAGGGUGAAAAGGUGGGGUAAGAGCCCACCGCCCGUGACGUGAGUCGCGGGGCACGGAAAACCUCAUUGGGAGCAAGGCCAAAUAGGGAACUCUGAUGCGGCCCGCAUUAGAUCCGCGCAAGCGGGUCGGGUUCCGGGUAUCGGCUGCUGAGAUAAAUGAUCCUCUCCCCCGGGUGACCGGGGCAGACAGAACUCGGCUUACAGCCUUUCCAGGACA